rnacentral:rRNA from 1 species
AUGCACGCUGGCGGCGUGCUUAACCCAUGCAAGUCGAACGGGAAUUAUUUUAUUGAAACUUCGGUCGAUUUAAUUUAAUUCUAGUGGCGGACGGGUGAGUAACGCGUGGGUAACCUGCCUUAUACAGGGGGAUAACAGUCAGAAAUGGCUGCUAAUACCGCAUAAGCGCACAGAGCUGCAUGGCUCAGUGUGAAAAACUCCGGUGGUAUAAGAUGGACCCGCGUUGGAUUAGCUGGUUGGUGGGGUAACGGCCCACCAAGGCGACGAUCCAUAGCCGGCCUGAGAGGGUGAACGGCCACAUUGGGACUGAGACACGGCCCAGACUCCUACGGGAGGCAGCAGUGGGGAAUAUUGCACAAUGGGGGAAACCCUGAUGCAGCGACGCCGCGUGAAGGAAGAAGUAUCUCGGUAUGUAAACUUCUAUCAGCAGGGAAGAUAGUGACGGUACCUGACUAAGAAGCCCCGGCUAACUACGUG